ensembl:lincRNA 1700006H21Rik RIKEN cDNA 1700006H21 gene
GGGAGACAUCUUAGAUCUAAUGCGGUGUCAGGACUCUUCGAGGAGUCGCAGGAGCUUGUGGCGAGCUUGUGGCGCCUCGCUCUCCAUCCCACACUUUCCUUCAUGAGGUUGAUCUCCACACCCCCGCACCAUUCUGACCUGUGCUGUCUGAAGGAUGGCUCAUACAGGGGCUGGAAGUCGGCAAAGAGUUCCCAGGGGAAGUCUUUGGCAUCCACAUUAUUCCUGCCUGGAAGCUGACUUGAAAACAGGAAGCUCAGAGCUUCACAUGAAGAAUGAUGGGACAGAAAGACACAGAGGACCUGACAGCACCAACCAGUAACUGUGCCAGCCCCUGGCUGUUGACCUGCGCACUUCUCAUUAUUUGAGAAAAAUGAAGUCGGGCUCAGCAGCUUAAGUCUCUUAUAGUUGAAUUUGCUGUUGUCUGUAACAAAACUUGUUCUUAAAUUAUACAAGGGGGAUCCCUCAGA